GAUGAACGCUGGCGGCGUGCCUAAUACAUGCAAGUCGAGCGAACGGACGAGGAGCUUGCUUCUCUGAUGUUAGCGGCGGACGGGUGAGUAACACGUGGAUAACCUACCUAUAAGACUGGGAUAACUUCGGGAAACCGUAGCUAAUACCGGAUAAUAUUUUGAACCGCAUGGUUCAAAAGUGAAAGACGGUCUUGCUGUCACUUAUAGAUGGAUCCGGGCUGCAUUAGAUAGUUGGUAAGGUAACGGCUUACCAAGGCAACGAUGCAUAGCCGACCUGAGAGGGUGGUCGGCCACCUGGGAACUGAGACACGGUCCAGACUCCUACGGGAGGCAGCAGUAGUGAAUCUGCCGCAAUGGGCGAAAGCCUGACGGAGCAACGGCGCGUGAGUGAUGACGGUCUUCGGAUCGUAAAACUCUGUUAUUAGGGAAGAACAGAUGUGUAAGUAACUGUGCACAUCUUGACGGUACCUAAUAAGAAAGCCACGGCUAACUACGUG
rnacentral:rRNA from 1 species